rnacentral:rRNA from 1 species
AUGGUGGUAACGGGUAACGGGGUGUUAGGGCACGACACCGGAGAGGGAGCCUGAGAAACGGCUACCACAUCCAAGGAAGGCAGCAGGCGCGCAAAUUACCCAAUCCCGACACGGGGAGGUAGUGACAAUAAAUAACAAUACAGGGUUCUUUUGGAUCCUGUAAUUGGAAUGAGUACAAUUUAAAUCUCUUAACGAGGAACAAUUGGAGGGCAAGUCUGGUGCCAGCAGCCGCGGUAAUUCCAGCUCCAAUAGCGUAUAUUAAAGUUGUUGCAGUUAAAAAGCUCGUAGUUGAAUUUCGGGAUCAAUAUUUCGGUCAUGCCGUUGGUAUGCACUGUUAUCAUUGAUUUCUCACCUUCUAAAGAACCGUAAUGCCAUUAAUUUGGUGUUACGGGGAAUUAGGACUGUUACCUUGAAAAAAUUAGAGUGUUUAAAGCAGGCUCACGCUUGAAUACAUUAGCAUGGAAUAAUGAAAUAGGACAUCCGAUUCUAUUUUGUUGGUUUCUAGGAUCGAUGUAAUGAUUAAUAGGGAUAGUUGGGGGCAUUAGUAUUCAAUUGUCAGAGGUGAAAUUCUUGGAUUUAUUGAAGACUAACUACUGCGAAAGCAUUUGCCAAGGAUGUUUUCAUUAAUCAAGAACGAAAGUUAGGGGAUCGAAGACGAUCAGAUACCGUCGUAGUCUUAACCAUAAACUAUGCCGA